UACAAACCAGAUGAAAAUGAAGUUCGAA
rnacentral:piRNA from 1 species